AUUGAACGCUGGCGGCAUGCCUUACACAUACAAGUCGAACGGCAGCACGGGAGCAAUCCUGGUGGCGAGUGGCGAACGGGUGAGUAAUAUAUCGGAACGUGCCCAGUCGUGGGGGAUAACGUAGCGAAAGCUACGCUAAUACCGCAUACGAUCUAUGGAUGAAAGCGGGGGAUCGCAAGACCUCGCGCGAUUGGAGCGGCCGAUAUCAGAUUAGGUAGUUGGUGGGGUAAAGGCUCACCAAGCCGACGAUCUGUAGCUGGUCUGAGAGGACGACCAGCCACACUGGGACUGAGACACGGCCCAGACUCCUACGGGAGGCAGCAGUGGGGAAUUUUGGACAAUGGGCGCAAGCCUGAUCCAGCAAUGCCGCGUGCAGGAUGAAGGCCUUCGGGUUGUAAACUGCUUUUGUACGGAACGAAACGGCGAGCUCUAAUACAGUUCGCUAAUGACGGUACCGUAAGAAUAAGCACCGGCUAACUACGUGCCAGCCGCCGCAGUAA
rnacentral:rRNA from 1 species